AAAUGAACCGUACCACUUUCAAAAAUCCAAAGUAUUAGGAAAACUUAAACCAAGCUUUUUCUUCAGCCAGGCUGAAGGGAAUGAAACGAGGAGAAACGCCCGUGAACUUAACUCUUGUCACAAUCGGCUCUUUUUCCAAUGAAAUCCUUCAUACCCACAGAGAGGAGAGGCCUCCGGAUGAAAGGAUCGUAUUUUCUUCUGCGGAGGAAACAUGAGAGUGUCCCGGCGUUAAAGUCUACCGCGACUAUUCAGACAUUCCCACCAUGAAUUUAAGAACUUGGCCCAGGCGGAUCACUCUGGAUUAAUCUCGUAACGAGAAAACAGAAGCAUACAUGCGACGGUGGCUGGGUGGUGGUUGUGGUUGUCCCCCCCCCCCCCCGGCAGUGGGUGGCCGGAGGGAAGCGGGACUCCCCGGCCUUAACCAGAGGAAAAAUUAAAUUAAAUUAAAAAGGCGACCCAUUUUGGUUUUGGCCUCUCUCUUCCCCUCCCCUCCCCUUCCACGCUGCAGGGAGAGCCGGCCACGGAGGCGAGGGGCAGCUCAGGCGAAGAGUAAACCUCGUUGUGGCGACAAGCGGGAAGCAAGCGCGUCUUUGCAACUCGGCGUGAUUUCGCGCCUGGGUUGGGGCGCUGCGGCCAGGAUAGAAUUUUACGGAGAGGAAAAGAGAAAGGGAGAUUCCCUUGCUGGACGGAAGAAAAUGAGUUGUUGCUUCUCUAGGAAGUUUAUGGUGGUUCCCAUCAGUGGAUUACAGAAGAAAUGGAUCUACAGGAUUGAUUCAAAAAGACCAAUUAAGAAAUAGUAUGCUUAAUGAAGUUCAAAUCCUAUGUUGUCCACAGAUUCACCAAUCUGGAAAUGUUAAAUUCAACAUACCAUAGUACUUGUAGUAAUAAUAAUAACAAUAGCAAUAUCAGUCUCAGUUUUCAGCUUUAUUUUCAUGCUUUUAACAUUUUGGAGGAGGUUUUGAUUUGUUUCUAAAUUGGGUCAUAUGUACCUCAUAAAGCAUGUUAUCUAUUUAAAAUUACUUUUACAUUAUGUUCUCUAUUUAUUUAUAUUUCUAGAACCAGAGUCCUAAUCCUAAUCCAUGCCAGUUUGGAUUGCUCUAGCUAUCAGAGAGUGAAAAAGAAACCUACUUAAUGGCAAACCACAUGAUUAGUAUAACAUGCAGUGUGAGCAUAGACUAGCUUGCUGUACGUUCUUGCAAUUUUAACUUAAUUCACCAAGUUAAAUGAGCUCUGAGUCUCAGGAUCUGCUUUAAGUGGAUUCCUGAAAAUAGGCACAUGGUUUCCCACAAUUUUGCAAUGACAAUAAUAUAAGUAUUAAGAAGCCUUAAUAUAUUAUAAAACAAAACAAAACACCCCUGCCCCUGAUUCUUUGUCAUGAAACACUAGAGCAAACAAAAUUCUGAUUCCAUCCAUAUGAACCUAUUUUAUUGCCUUCCUUCUGCUAUCUUAUCCUUCCAAAAAUACUAUAUAAUGUCCUACAUCACUGUAAAUUGGUUUCCUCUGUAUUUAAACCCAUAUUUGAAAAUUAUGAUUUUAAAAGAAUAUAUAUAUAUAUAUAUAUAUAUAUAUAUAUAUAUAUAUAUAUAUGUAUGUAUGUAUGUAUGUAUGUAUGUAUGUAUGUAUAUGUAUAUGUAUAUGUAUAUGUAUAUGUAUAUGUAUAUGUAUAUGUAUAUGUAAGUAUGUAUAUAUGUGUGAUUUCUAACCCCUAAAAGUAGUUUAUUGCAUAUUACUGUAGUUUUAAUUCUAAAAGCAUUUUAGGAUUAACGUUUACUGAUUUCCCCACUCUUCUACAUUGUUUAGUCAUUGCCUCAGUGACAGUUGAAUGGAAUGUGACUUUACUAAAAAUAUUCCCAUUUAUGCAUGUUUUUAGCAGUGUUUGGAUAUUCUCAUCUCCAGCCACAUUUUUUUUUAAAAAAAUUAAAUUCUACUGUAUAAGGGUCUGUGCGUUUAAUAAAUGUAAUUAGCCACAG